CUUUGAUUAUGGCUCAGGAUGAACGCUAGCUACAGGCUUAACACAUGCAAGUCGAGGGGAAACGACAUCGAAAGCUUGCUUUUGAUGGGCGUCGACCGGCGCACGGGUGAGUAACGCGUAUCCAACCUGCCCACCACUUGGGGAUAACCUUGCGAAAGUAAGACUAAUACCCUAUGACGUCUCUAGAAGACAUCUGAAAGAGAUUAAAGAUUUAUCGGUGAUGGAUGGGGAUGCGUCUGAUUAGCUUGUUGGCGGGGUAACGGCCCACCAAGGCGACAAUCAGUAGGGGUUCUGAGAGGAAGGUCCCCCACAUUGGAACUGAGACACGGUCCAAACUCCUACGGGAGGCAGCAGUGAGGAAUAUUGGUCAAUGGGCGAGAGCCUGAACCAGCCAAGUAGCGUGCAGGAUGACGGCCCUAUGGGUUGUAAACUGCUUUUAUAAGGGAAUAAAGUGAGUCUCGUGAGACUUUUUGCAUGUACCUUAUGAAUAAGGACCGGCUAAUUCCGUGCCAGCAGCCGCGGUAAUACGGAAGGUCCGGGCGUUAUCCGGAUUUAUUGGGUUUAAA
rnacentral:rRNA from 1 species